GCCGGGUAUUGUGGUGUGUGCCUGUAGUCCCAGCUACUCGGGAGGCUGAGGUGGGAGGAUGGCUUGAACCUAGGAGGUGGAAGUUGCAGUGAGCUGAUUGAGCCACUGCACUCCGGCCUGGGUGACAAAGCCAGACCCUGUCUCAA
rfam:Homo sapiens chromosome 14, GRCh38 reference primary assembly.